rnacentral:rRNA from 1 species
UACGAAGGGGGCUAGCGUUGUUCGGAAUCACUGGGCGUAAAGGGCGCGUAGGCGGCUGUUCCAAGUCGGGGGUGAAAGCCUGUGGCUCAACCACAGAAUGGCCUUCGAUACUGGACGGCUCGAGACCGGAAGAGGUGAGUGGAACUGCGAGUGUAGAGGUGAAAUUCGUAGAUAUUCGCAAGAACACCAGUGGCGAAGGCGGCUCACUGGUCCGGUUCUGACGCUGAGGCGCGAAAGCGUGGGGAGCAAACAGG